rnacentral:lncRNA from 1 species
AUGGAGAUGAGUGGCUUCCUGGUCACAUCAGCAGCCUUGCUGUUUAUAGCUAACGGACAGAGCAACUAUGAUAUGUUGAUGGAGGUUGACAAGAAACAUGUUGACAUGGCUAUAAGAUAUGCAAAUAAGAAUAGUGAGAUUCAGAAAAAUAAUCCAAAAGAGCACCUCAAUUUUUUUAAAGUUGUUGGACAAUCUGAGAUCAAUGCUCGGGAAUUUAAAAUCAACUUGUUGUUGAAAGCAACAGACUGCCCUAAGGCCAGUAGAGAUAGUGAACAUAAACAUCGCCCUGAAUGUCACUUUAAAUCCAGAAGGGAUAAGGAUACAUUCAACUCCAUGCUCUGGUUUCGAGCAGUGCUUCAUGGCAGUAGUAAGGAUCCUCCAUGUGCGUGA